GGAGAAGCAGGCUCCAUGCAACGUGAGACUCGAUCCUGGGACCCAGGAUCACACCCUGAGCAGAAGGCAGACGCUCAACCACUGAGCCACCCAGGUGCCCCCACAGAGUACUGUAGAUGAUUUUCAAAAACUGUAAGUUCCAAGAGUUCUAUUAUCUGGACUAUAAAUUUAUAUUAAUAUUAAAAGGAUAUGCAAGUAUGUUCACUUGCUUAACAACUGUACCGUAUUAUUAGCUCACAUCAACUUGAGAGAGAAAUAUGUGUGGCAAACUGAUCAAGCAGGUCUUAAAUUGGAAAUUUGUGGAGGAAGGUGAAUUACAACCUAAGAUGUAGAAUGGGAUAUUGAACUGCAAUUCCCAGAAGUGCUAUAGAUAGUUCCUGAGCAGUAUUCAUAACUUCAGGUGAGCUUGUAGGGAAUCAUGUGAGUACUCAGUCACUCUGGAGUAAGAGCACAACCUUAAAAACUGGACAGAACAAGGCAAUAUUAAAGUGGCUAUCUCAGAAAGUAUCUGAUUUGUCUAAAUAUCUUGAUUUCCUUAAUUCCUCUGACCAAUUCUGACUUCUGUGUUCCCAGUUUCCUUCUGAUUUCAUACUUCUUCCAAGACCUCAACUUCUAAUGACACUGAUAUCCCUGCUUCAUCUGUGUAGCUGGUGACCUUGCUGUUUGCUCUUCUCCUCAGCCUCCAAGAUGCACCCUUUAUUUUCUUAGCUACCCCUCCCCACUUGUGGUAUCUAACCCUGUGCUACUGAUUCCAUCUUCUCUUAGAAACAUUUCCCUCCUUUAUCAGUAUUGGCACUUAGCUUAUGCACCUGUAGAACACCAGAGUCUAAAUUAUUCUCUGGGGUUUUGACAUGAACCACUCAGCAUCUGCCAUUUGAUUAACACAGUUUUAUGGAAGUAGGGUCCAUACAUGGCUAGCACUGAAGUUUGGUGGGAGGAGUCUUAGGAUGUAGAACAGCUGUAGGAAAGAUGAGAUCUGUUUUGAAGGAAAGAGAUCUAAUGCACCGAGUGGAUUGUGCAUUAAAAGCAUACUGAUGUGUUAAACAGUAUGUUAAAAAGGUUGUUGACAAAUAAGAGGAGAAAUAAAAUAAAUGAUGUUGCUGAGAGAUAACCACAGAGUGCACAGGGAAAGAGAAGAUACACUGAUGCUUUCCUAAUAUAGAUUAUAACUCAAGUAUUCAGGCUAUUAGUGUCAGAAACCUUAUCUUUCUCAUCUUUGAAUCCCCCUUAGAUUCUAGCAUAAUGCUUUUUGAAUUGAAAUUAGUCUUCUGUUGGCGGUGCCUUUCUUCUAAAUCUGAACAGUUGAUAUAUUCUUGAUGUACCCAGAAGAAUCUACUGUAACUGAAAAGCCCGAAGAAUCCAGAGGACUAUGGUUACUCUGGCCUUUAAUCCAGUCAGCAAAAUGGGGAUAGAAGAGUUAACAUUCAUCAGACUCUUUCAAGCAUUCUGCAGCCGACAUCUCAUUGAGUCUUCUUAAAAUUCAAUUUAUGGAGUAUUUAUUAGCCCUGUUUUUCAGUUGAAGAAAUAAUGAUUCUGAGAUUAAUAACUGUGAUGAGCAGUAAUUCUUAAUACAGGGAGUUAGAACAGAAACUCAGAGUCCAUACUCUUUUGGAUCCACUAUGCUUUCCUUCAGUGGCUGGUGACUAGAAAAUGAGGAGAACCUUGGGAAAUCAAUGCCAUUCCAGUGAGAAGAAAACAGAUUACUUGGAGCAUGUGGCUUCUGGGAAAAAAAUUUUAUCAACACAGAUUUCAAAAGAAAAGUGUACUGAACCACAAAGCUAGUAUUUCCCAUGGCUGUCAUUUUCCAGAUGCUGCGUGAGGCACUGAGAUGUAGAGGAAAGCAUGUUCAUGAAGAGGCUGGACAGGCAUCCUAGGCAACAGCUAUCCUACUUCUUGGUAAAGCAUCCGGAUGCCCUAGAGCAUCGUAUUCCAGUGGGCUCACAAUGUGCAGGAGUUUGAUGAAGCUCAUCAUGAAGGACAAGUGCUUGAAGUGGAAUGGAUAGUAUUCCUUCAAAAUUUACAUCAGUGGACCUCAGAAUGUGUCCUUAUUUGAACAUGGUGUCUUUGGAGUUGUAAUUCAUUAACAUGAGAUCUUCCUGGAUCAGGUUGGGUCCCAAGUCCAAUGAUUGGUGUCCUUCUAAGAAGAGUAGAAGACACAGAGAAACACACAAGGAAAGAACACCAUAUGACAAUUGGAGGCGCAUAUUGGAAUGAUGCGGUUACACGCCAAGAGCUAUCAAGGAUUGCCAAGAGCCACAAGAAGCUGGAAGAGACAAGGAAGGAUUCUCCCCUAGAGCCUUCAAAGGGAACAUGGCCCUGCCAACACCUUAUUUCGGUCUUCUAGCUCUUAGAACUCUGAGAGAAUAAAUUUCUGUUGUUUUAAGCCACCCAGUUUGUGGUAAUUUGUCAUGGCAGCCUUAGGAAACUAAUAGUGUUUACCCUCGAUGUUAUGAAAUGUAACUUUGACUUAUUCCAACAUAAAUUGGUGCUAUUACCAAAUAUAUGAAAGGAUCUUAGAGCAUUUUAACUAUACUCACAAUAGUUGUGCCUUUAAUGCUGUUGUUUUGUGUAUUUUAAUUCUACAUAUA